rnacentral:rRNA from 1 species
CCGCGUGAGUGAAGAAGGCCUUCGGGUUGUAAAGCUCUUUCGGCAGGAACGAAACGGGGGCGCUAACAUCGCCUGUCAAUGACGGUACCUGAAGAAGAAGCACCGGCUAACUACGUGCCAGCAGCCGCGGUAAUACGUAGGGUGCGAGCGUUAAUCGGAAUUACUGGGCGUAAAGCGUGCGCAGGCGGUUCUAUAAGACAGAUGUGAAAUCCCCGGGCUUAACCUGGGAACUGCGUUUGUGACUGUAGGACUGGAGUGUGGCAGAGGGGGGUGGAAUUCCACGUGUAGCAGUGAAAUGCGUAGAGAUGUGGAGGAACACCGAUGGCGAAGGCAGCCCCCUGGGUUAACACUGACGCUCAUGCACGAAAGCGUGGGUAGCAAACAGGAUUAGAUACCCUGGUAGUCCACGCCCUAAACGAUGCGAACUAGGUGUUGGAGAAGGAGACUUCUUUAGUACCGUAGCUAACGCGUGAAGUUCGCCGCCUGGGGAGUACGGUCGCAAGAUUAAAACUCAAAGGAAUUGACGGGGACCCGUACAAGCGGUGGAUGAUGUGGAUUAAUUCG